rnacentral:lncRNA from 1 species
ACUCCGCAGGAAAUUGAGUUCCCGAACCCGAUGCAGAGAUGGGGAAGGGGGGAGCCAAAAGAAGGGUUUGCUGUCCAUCUUUGGCGCCAGAGGAAAAGUCAGCCCCCAGAAGCUAAGCACUGAGAAGUCCAAUCUUCCACAUCCAGGGGUUUCCAGAUUCCCACUCGUGUAAGAAAUGCAGCGUGAUGUCCCAGUUUUCGUGUUUUUCUUGAGAUGUGGUCCCCUUGGAGGAGCUUCCCCCGCCAGGAUGGAAUUUCAGAGCUUUCGGCUCGAGAAGAAGGGAAAUGCCCCAAACAGCCACCCGCCAGGCCCCUUGUGGCCGCUGAGAAGUUGGGGAGGAUGCAGCCAUAAAGGAGGAUGUGAAAAGUAGGCGAGAUCGCAAGGCACGAAUCUUGGAAUCUUCGUGUUUCAUCAGGAAGGCAGAGGAGGAAGGAGUCUGCGAGGUGCAGCCGCCUCUUCUGACCUCAGGAUGGAUGGAGAGGGCGUGAAGGACCCGUCAGUGACCAGCUGUUGCACAGAGAGCCCAGGGGAAGGGGGUGCCCUGGCGGGCACAUGGGAACCGAUGCUGCAGCUCAUGAAAAGUUGGAGGAACAAACUGCUUUGUCCCAGGAGAAGAGGAGCAGGAUGGAACGGACGCCCGCUGUAAUCGUGGGCGGAACCGGAGGGACGGAUGCAACGCUUGGCGCUUCCGAUUCUGACAGUGGCUGACCUCACGGGAGAUGGAUGGGGGAGGGUCCAGAUGUUUCGAUGAGGAAACGGAGGCCACUAAGUGUUGUGUAACGUCCCAAGGGGACCCAGCUCUGAAGCGGUGGAGUCAGAAUGGGUUGCUUAACAGCCACCCCCACCCUCGGCUCGGAAGACGUCCACACCCAGAUCAAAGACCCCGUGCAGCAGGACCUGAGGAUGCAGUCCAUUGUCUGAGCUUGGGCUGCGGACGCAGACUCCCCCAGACUUGAGGCUCACCCCGCAGGCGUGUAUGUCUCACCCUGCUGCAGACCGGAAGUCUGAGACUGAGAUGUAGCUUC